GCUGCAGGCUUUGAAAGAGGAAAAGUCUUGUUUAUCCACUGGGUAAAGCUACCAGAGGGCAGCAAACAGCCCUGGCAGUGAGAUGCCACAUUUCCAGUCCCUUGGAAAAAGAAGCUGCAUGUGCGUCUCACCUGUGCCUGAGGGUUUGGCUCCAGAGCUGGUCCAGACGGUAUGCCACUAUCGUUCCUCCUAAUUACUUCGGUUCAGGGGAUGGAGCUAAGGUGCAGAAACUUUGCUAAAAAUGAAGCUGCAGAUGAUCAGCAGUCACUACCAUCAUCCCUGGAGAAGGGUGAAGUGCUCCGCUUUCAAUCAGCAGCUCUCCAGCUGGUGACAACUCGAAGCUGGAGCUUCAGCCUCUGCUUGGGUUUCAUGUAGAGCUACAAGUUAUAGGUGACCCUGCUCACAGCACUGCAGAGUCUCAAUGACACCCGAAGAAUCAUUUCUCACAAUCCUUCUUUCCUAUUGAACAUCGUCCCUGAAAUGAAAACAAGCAAGACUAACCAGUGCAGAAUGUUUCCAGCAAUUUAACACAACUGUUGUAAAAAUGAGUGUAUCUAUUUCAAUAAAUAUGAUAUAGCUCAACCAUUGUAUUUUCCUUACAUGGAUACAGUAUAGAAUUGCAUGUUCUCAGCAGCCACAUAAAGCUCAGUGACAUUUG